rnacentral:rRNA from 1 species
GACGAACGCUUGCGGCGUGCUUAACACAUGCAAGUCGAACGGAAAGGCCCUGCUUUUGUGGGGUGCUCGAGUGGCGAACGGGUGAGUAACACGUGAGUAACCUGCCCUUGACUUUGGGAUAACUUCAGGAAACUGGGGCUAAUACCGGAUAGGAGCUCCUGCUGCAUGGUGGGGGUUGGAAAGUUUCGGCGGUUGGGGAUGGACUCGCGGCUUAUCAGCUUGUUGGUGGGGUAGUGGCUUACCAAGGCUUUGACGGGUAGCCGGCCUGAGAGGGUGACCGGCCACAUUGGGACUGAGAUACGGCCCAGACUCCUACGGGAGGCAGCAGUGGGGAAUAUUGCACAAUGGGCGGAAGCCUGAUGCAGCAACGCCGCGUGCGGGAUGACGGCCUUCGGGUUGUAAACCGCUUUCGCCUGUGACGAAGCGUGAGUGACGGUAAUGGGUAAAGAAGCACCGGCUAACUACGUGCCAGCAGCCGCGGUGAUACGUAGGGUGCGAGCGUUGUCCGGAUUUAUUGGGCGUAAAGGGCUCGUAGGUGGUUGAUCGCGUCGGAAGUGUAAUCUUGGGGCUUAACCCUGAGCGUGCUUUCGAUACGGGUUGACUUGAGGAAGGUAGGGGAGAAUGGAAUUCCUGGUGGAGCGGUGGAAUGCGCAGAUAUCAGGAGGAACACCAGUGGCGAAGGCGGUUCUCUGGGCCUUUCCUGACGCUGAGGAGCGAAAGCGUGGGGAGCGAACAGGCUUAGAUACCCUGGUAGUCCACGCUGUAAACGGUGGGUACUAGGUGUGGGGUCCAUUCCACGGGUUCCGUGCCGUAGCUAACGCUUUAAGUACCCCGCCUGGGGAGUACGGCCGCAAGGCUAAAACUCAAAGGAAUUGACGAGGCCCCGCACAAGCGGCGGAGCAUGCGGAUUAAUUCGAUGCAACGCGUAGAACCUUACCUGGGUUUGACAUGGAUCGGGAGUGCUCAGAGAUGGGUGUGCCUCUUUUGGGGUCGGUUCACAGGUGGUGCAUGGCUGUCGUCAGCUCGUGUCGUGAGAUGUUGGGUUAAGUCCCGCAACGAGCGCAACCCUUGUUCACUGUUGCCAGCACGUUAUGGUGGGGACUCAGUGGAGACCGCCGGGGUCAACUCGGAGGAAGGUGGGGAUGACGUCAAGUCAUCAUGCCCCUUAUGUCCAGGGCUUCACGCAUGCUACAAUGGCUGGUACAGAGAGUGGCGAGCCUGUGAGGGUGAGCGAAUCUCGGAAAGCCGGUCUCAGUUCGGAUUGGGGUCUGCAACUCGACCUCAUGAAGUCGGAGUCGCUAGUAAUCGCAGAUCAGCAACGCUGCGGUGAAUACGUUCCCGGG